rnacentral:rRNA from 1 species
GACGAACGCUGGCGGCGUGCUUAACACAUGCAAGUCGAACGGAAAGGCCCUGCUUUUGUGGGGUGCUCGAUUGGCGAACGGGUGAGUAACACGUGAGUAACCUGCCCUUGACUUUGGGAUAACUUCAGGAAACUGGGGCUAAUACCGGAUAGGAGCUCCUGCUGCACGGUGGGGGUUGGAAAGUUUCGGCGGUUGGGGAUGGACUCGCGGCUUAUCGGCUUGUUGGUGGGGUAGUGGCUUACCAAGGCUUUGACGGGUAGCCGGCCUGAGAGGGUGACCGGCCACAUGGGGACUGAGAUACGGCCCAGACUCCUACGGGAGGCAGCAGUGGGGAAUAUUGCACAAUGGGCGGAAGCCUGAGGCAGCAACGCCGCGUGCGGGAUGACGGCCUUCGGGUUGUAAACCGCUUUCGACUGUGACGAAGCGUGAGUGACGGUAAUGGGUAAAGAAGCACCGGCUAACUACGUG